UACGUAGGGGGCAAGCGUUAUCCGGAAUUACUGGGUGUAAAGGGAGCAUAGACGGUAAUGUAAGUCUGGAGUGAAAGGCGGGGGCCCAACCCCCGGACUGCUCUGGAAACUAUGUUACUAGAGUGCAGGAGAGGUAAGCGGAAUUCCUAGUGUAGCGGUGAAAUGCGUAGAUAUUAGGAGGAACACCAGUGGCGAAGGCGGCUUACUGGACUGUAACUGACGUUGAGGCUCGAAAGCGUGGGGAGCAAACAGG
rnacentral:rRNA from 1 species